rnacentral:rRNA from 1 species
UACAGAGGUCUCAAGCGUUGUUCGGAUUCAUUGGGCGUAAAGGGUGCGUAGGCGGUGGGACAAGUUGGAUGUGAAAUCCCGGGGCUCAACCCCGGAACCGCAUUCGAUACUGUUUUGCUAGAGUGCUGGAGAGGAGACUGGAAUUUACGGUGUAGCAGUGAAAUGCGUAGAUAUCGUAAGGAAGACCAGUGGCGAAGGCGAGUCUCUUGACAGCUACUGACGCUGAGGCACGAAGGCCAGGGGAGCAAACGGG